rnacentral:rRNA from 1 species
CACCGCGGUUAUACGAGAGACCCAAGUUGACAGACAUCGGCGUAAAGCGUGGUUAAGAUCCCCUAAAACUAAAGCCGAACACCCUCCGGGCAGUUAUACGCAUCCGAAGGUACGAAGUUCCACCACGAAAGUGGCUUUAUUCCCCUGACCCCACGAAAGCUACGAAA